GCUAUUGUAGGGGUAUUAAAAAGACAGGCCAGAGUUUGAGAUCUACUGCCAACCUCCCUUGCGGAGUUAGGGAACAUUUUACUUGGAAAAAAAGGUCUUCUCUUCCUGCAGAGAUCCACGGCUGUAUUCUCCUGCAGAGCCUGAGCCCUGCCUGGCAGAGUAGGCAAAAAUUCAUCGGAAUUGUAAAAUAUUAUGUGACUUCUAAGUUUGUAGAUCUUGUCCGAGAGCUGCUAUUUGAAAUAAAAAUGUUUGUAUCCAUUUCCUCAUUAAUCAUUGUAAUACAACCUGCUGCAGCUAAAUGACAAAACAGAUGCAACAAUGAAAAUUAAAAGUGAUGGAUACUUAUCUUUGGCUGUAAAAGCUGCUAACAAUUUAGAGAACUAGAGUGCCUUUUGGAGCUAGAAUGUGGCAAAUGAGAGAACAAUAAUAGGGCUAAAGAGUUUACUGUUUGCAAACCAGAUAACUGUGGGGAGGCUGCCUUGCUCUCUCACACCUGUUUUAUAUGGUUUGUCUUUUUU